AUGCAGGCAGUGGCUUCUGGAUUGACAAACAGGACUGGAGCAAGCUAUUCAGUACUCCCACAGACACCAGGUUUUGCAAGUAUGCUGCAUUGCUAUUUUGGACACCAGAAGAGCUCCGUGUUCGCAGUGUGACUGGCAUCCCAUCUAACCGUUAUUUGUCAUCUGGCAAACACUACUCAAGGCUGCCACUGACACCGGAAAAGCUCGCCACCCUGAAAGGCCUCUUUCGACACUACGUGGGCAAGGAUGUUCUGGCACAACGAAGGCUAAAAGCUGCGCGCCAACACCUGUCUUCCGUACUCUGCAAUAUUCGUCGACAUGGUGUUGUAGACAGGCCGUAUUCAAUGGCCAGCAAUAGUUAGAAGAUAGCCCUGAAGCUUCUGGUCGCCAAUACCGUUGUGGUCAGUCGCCACUUUUGGAGAAGGUGGCCUUGGGGCAGAAGUCUGGGUUUGUGAAUGCCAGCUGCAGUGACAGCAGAUGUGAAGCAGUAUUGAUGGUGCUUUGCAAUUUACCAAUUGUUCCAAAAGUGCUUUCUGUCUUUUUUUAUGUGCGCAGCACCGU